rnacentral:rRNA from 1 species
UACAGAGGUGCCAAGCGUUAGGCGGAAUCACUGGGCUUAAAGCGCGUGUAGGCGGCUCGGUAAGUCUGCUGUGAAAGUCCAGGGCUCAACCCUGGAAUGCCGGUGGAUACUGUCGAGCUCGAGUCCGGAAGAGGCGAGUGGAAUUCCCGGUGUAGCGGUGAAAUGCGCAGAUAUCGGGAGGAACACCAAUGGCGAAGGCAGCUCGCUGGGACGUUACUGACGCUAAGACGCGAAAGCGUGGGGAGCAAACAGG